rfam:Paenibacillus alvei DSM 29 PAV_8c, whole genome shotgun sequence.
CAUCAUAAAGCAGCGUCAUCUCGUAUAUGUGCAGGAAUUGGCCUGCAUGUUUCUACCCAAUCACCGGAAUGAUUGGACUACGGGGAACCAACGUGCCGCA